rnacentral:rRNA from 1 species
CAGCCGCCACGGGAAUACGGAGGGGGCUAGCGUUGUUCGGAAUUACUGGGCGUAAAGCGCACGUAGGCGGCUUGGUAAGUUAGAGGUGAAAGCCCGGAGCUCAACUCCGGAAUUGCCUUUAAGACUGCCGAGCUAGCAGGUGAGAGAGGUAAGUGGAAUUCCGAGUGUAGAGGUGAAAUUCGUAGAUAUUCGGAAGAACACCAGUGGCGAAGGCGGCUUACUGGCUCAUACUGGACGCUGAGGUGCGAAAGCGUGGGGAGCAAACAGGAUUAGAUACCCGAGUAGUCCCUGUCUCUUAUAC